GAAAUGCGAUAAGUAAUGUGAAUUGCAGAAUUCAGUGAAUCAUCGAAUCUUUGAACGCACCUUGCGCUCCUUGGUAUGCCUGGGAGCAUGCCUGUUUGAGUAUCAUGAAAUCUUCAAAGUAAAUCUUUUGUUAACUCAAUUGGUUUCUACUUUGGUAUUGGAGGUCUUUGCAGCUUCACACCUGCUCCUCUUUGUUCAUUAGCUGGAUCUCAGUGUUAUGCUUGGUUCCACUCGGCGUGAUAAGUUAUCUAUCGCUGAGGACACUGUAAAAGGUGGCCAAGGUAAAUGCAGAUGAACCGCUUCUAAUAGUCCAUUGACUUGGACAAUACUUUUAUGAUCUGAUCUCAAAUCAGGUAGGACUACCCGCUGACCUUAAGC
rnacentral:misc_RNA from 1 species